rnacentral:rRNA from 1 species
AAUCAACGCUGGCGGCGUGCCUCAGACAUGCAAGUCGAACGAUUAAAGCUCCCUUCGGGGAGUGCAUAAAGUGGCGCACGGGUGAGUAACACGUAAGUAAUCUACCCUCGAGUGGGGAAUAACGUCCGGAAACGGACGCUAAUACCACAUAAUGCAGCGGCACCGCAAGGUGACAGUUGUUAAAGAUUUAUCGCUUGAGGAGGAGCUUGCGGCAGAUUAGCUAGUUGGUAAGGUAAUGGCUUACCAAGGCCGCGAUCUGUAACCGGUCUAAGAGGACGGUCGGUCACACUGACACUGAAUAACGGGUCAGACUCCUACGGGAGGCAGCAGUCGGGAAUUUUGGGCAAUGGGCGAAAGCCUGACCCAGCAACGCCGCGUGAAGGAUGAAGUAUUUCGGUAUGUAAACUUCGAGAGAAUGGGAAGAAUUAAUGACGGUACCAUUUAUAAGCUCCGGCUAACUACGUGCCAGCCGCCGCAGUAACAC